GUGCCGAUCAUUCGAAAUCUUGAAGAAACGCGUACACCAGUCGUUGGAGAACACGUUCACCACUUUGAAUCCCGAAGAGCACCAAGAACACAUGGUAAUCGUUCAUCAUUCAAGCGGAGACGUACUGCAUUGUCCAGAUCGAGGGGGAGUACCAACAAGUUUAUCUUUGGGGUGGAGGUCCUUCCACGCGGAGGAGACUUGCAUCCGGAACCUUUUAUUCCCGAGGAUAACUGGGACGUCGUGUUUUUGCUGAUUGCGUAAAGCCUUCCCAGUGGACUUACAUAAGAGUUAGGCUCUGACCUGGCUGCUAUCGUUUCUCGCUGGCGCUGGCGACGGUGCUGCUGGUGUGGUGGUAGUGUUUAAUGAUAUUGUGAAGAGGUGAAUCCCUAAAACGUACCCCACAUACAUACCGACGUGAAGCAAGUACUCCGUUCGGUAAAUAGUGGGAUCCGGCAUUAGGUCGACCUAAUUUGCACAUCUUUUAAUACGUUCACGCGUGAUCGCGUCCUCGCGUGCAACGUGGACGACUUUGCGCUGUGGUGUUUCCUCAGGAUCGAAUAUCGUUGUUUGCUCUUGCUGCGAAAUUCCGCCGCAUGCUUAUGUGUUGCACAUGCGUUACACAUCGCACAAGAAGAAAAGAGAAACUCAACUUAACCACUCUUGUCACAUGCAUUUUACAAAAUUGCAAAAUUACAAAAAUGGCUUACAAAAUUGCAAGUACCUAGUUAAUUAUUAUUAAUUCUAUGGAAGGUGUCUACACCGUAUUUUACCAUUUCAUCGAACCAUAGUAAAAUAACGUGACCAGUGAGAUUCGUACGUUACUUUAAUAAAUUUCCUAUUUUCUUUUUCUAAACAUAUGCGUUCGAUAUUAAUAUAGAUACAAAUAUAAGGUAGGAAGAGGAAAUAUAAAGUAGAAAGCGAUUAAAAGCUUACACAGCAAAAAUAUGAUAUGUGAAUCUUUCUUUUGUCCGCCCAUACACUCUGUUGAUGCACUAGAUUAUUACUAUGCCAUAAUUGCGUUGGAGUCACAAUUUUGUUGACUUUAUAAAAAAGUGCGGAUUAGUAUCUGUAUCAUCAAUCGAGUUAGUUGAUUCAAAUAGAACUCAAACGUCUCAUGUACGUUGUCAGUUAAUACAAUUAUAUAACUUAAUCGGACAAGUAUUAAUAAAGAUUAUGAGAAAAA